rnacentral:rRNA from 1 species
UACGGAGGGUGCGAGCGUUAAUCGGAAUUACUGGGCGUAAAGCGCGCGUAGGCGGCCAUGUAAGUCGGGUGUGAAAUCCCCGGGCUCAACCUGGGAAUUGCAUUCGAUACUGCACGGCUGGAGUAUGGUAGAGGGUAGUGGAAUUCCGGGUGUAGCGGUGAAAUGCGUAGAUAUCCGGAGGAACACCAGUGGCGAAGGCGGCUACCUGGACCAAUACUGACGCUGAGGCGCGAAAGCGUGGGGAGCAAACAGG